rnacentral:rRNA from 1 species
GAUGAACGCUGGCGGCGUGCCUAAUACAUGCAAGUCGAGCGAACAGACGAGGAGCUUGCUCCUCUGACGUUAGCGGCGGACGGGUGAGUAACACGUGGAUAACCUACCUAUAAGACUGGGAUAACUUCGGGAAACCGGAGCUAAUACCGGAUAAUAUAUUGAACCGCAUGGUCCAAUAGUGAAAGACGGUUUUGCUGUCACUUAUAGAUGGAUCCGCGCCGCAUUAGCUAGUUGGUAAGGUUACGGCUUACCAAGGCAACGAUGCGUAGCCGACCUGAGAGGGUGAUCGGCCACACUGGAACUGAGACACGGUCCAGACUCCUACGGGAGGCAGCAGUAGGGAAUCUUCCGCAAUGGGCGAAAGCUUGACGGAGCAACGCCGCGUGAGUGAUGAAGGUCUUCGGAUCGUAAAACUCUGUUAUUAGGGAAGAACAAAUGUGUAAGUAACUAUGCGCGUCUUGACGGUACCUAAUCAGAAAGCCACGGCUAACUACGUG